GAGCAACAGCCCCAUUGCCAGCCCGGCAGCAGGAGGAAGGAGGAAGCCGGGCUGCAGAGACACAAAAUCACGGCAGAACUGGCUGCGAGAGCACCAGACAGGCUGGCUGGGAAGGACGGCUCUGCUGAGCCCGGGAGAAAAUGGUUUGAGUAAUUAUUAACGCCUGCCGCUAUGUGGCCAGGAAGAUGGGGACCCUGUGCUGCCAGCAGCCCCAGGAGCCACCACCCAGCCCGGAGCAGGCAGCCCCACGGAGAGGCCACCAAAAUGUAAACGCGGUGGUAUCAGCACCCCCCCAAGCCACAGCCUCACUUUCCACGAACAAGGACGUGGCCCAAGACCAGCCCUGCAGGUCCUGAGGGUAAUGGCCCUCGUGGUCCUCUCUUGAAGGCCACGAGCUGCCUCCCCACCCACCUCCUGGAAUCUGUGUGCUGGGAAUCCUGCAGCCCUGGGAUUGGGAAAAAUCAGAAAAUCCCUCCUGUACCUGCUCUCGGCACAGAAGCACAAUGACAGAGAACAUCCCCAUCGGUCUCCCUACCAGAAAUUUCCAGAUGGCAGAAAAGACCAUCAUGUACCAGGUGCUCCCGGCACUUCUGGGCCCUGGGAAAGAGCACGAGCCAUUGCAUUCCAGCAGCAAAUCAGAUUUUUAUGCUGUGAAACCAAGCUGUGCUCCCAAUGACAUCGCUCUACCUUCAGACCACUUCUAAGAAGGUAAAAUCAGCUCAGGAGCUGGAAUGUGGAGUCCAAGAGCCUGGCCCUGUGGAAAUCCCAUGAUGUUUUGAACACACCCCCUGUGCCCAACAAGCCGGUGACCCAGCACGAUGAGCAGCACAUGCAGAGCAGAGGGGCUGCAGAGACCACCGCCACAUCCCCCCCCACCAGCAAACCCCGCGCUGUCACAGAGCAAUGAAGGCAGAAUUGCAAAGCCCACCCCUGUGGGGGCGAUUCUGCCUGACCCCUUCCUGUGACAGCCCCAGCUGAGCCAGAAAUAAAGAUGGAUGGAAGGAG